AAAGAAUUCUGGUAUGCUGUAAAUGCCGACUGCACAAUAUGUGACUGGCCCGCGGCCGCUUUGAAGGUAAGAUUGUGUUCUCAUUAAUCUGUUUAUUGUACCAUUUGUUUUCCAGUGACAUUACGAGCCAACAAUGAAAACCUCGAUCCACUCUGUUUCCACAUAUUAUCUAGUUUGUGCGCUGUGGAGCUUGAAGCACUUCUCAGAAUUUCAGCACACUCGCAUUUAUUUCUUUCCCGACAGAAGAACAAUGCAAGUCUCACAUCUCGAUGAGGGUGGCGAUUUACCGUCUCACAUCUCGACGCUAAAACGUCGCAUCUGCGUACGUGUUCAGGGCUAAGAGCACGAGAACUGGCCGAAAGAAGGGAGCCGAUCCAGCAAGAAUGCCGCCCGUCUUAUAUAUAUGUCAGCGCUAUCAUGCAGCGAUCACAUGGACUGUACGGUUGCGUUGCACAAGGGCUGAUGCAAACGCUCCGUGCGAACAAUGUUGCAUGUAA
rnacentral:lncRNA from 1 species